AAUAGAAUGGGCCUGUGAGGCUGGAAGGAGAUAUUACAACACCGAUUUUGAGUACAGAAUGUUUGAAAGAGUCUGAUCUCUCUUUAUUUUCUAUUUGUUUUUAAAAUAGUCUUUAUGUUUCGGAGCAGUUUUAGUUUUAUAGCAAAAUUGAGCAAAAAGUACAGAGAUAUCCUGUUUACUCCCCCUCCCGCCCCCGCAACCUCCAUCCCUGGCCCAAGCCUCCUCUGCUGUCAGCAUCUCCUACCAGA
rnacentral:lncRNA from 1 species